AGUGAACGCUGGCGGCGUGCCUAAUACAUGCAAGUCGAACGGAGUGGCGCACGGGUGAGUAAUGUAUAGCUAAUCUGCCCUACACUAGAGGACAACAGUUGGAAACGACUGCUAAUCCUCUAUAGUGUAGGACGAGGCUAUAUUGUAUCAGCUAGUUGGUGAGGUAAUUGAUCACCAAGGUUAUGACCCAUAACUGGUCUGCGGGGAUGAGUAGUCAAACUGUAACUGAGGCACGAGUCGGACUCCUACGGGAAGCAUCAGUAGGGAAUACUGCUCAAUGGGGGAAACCCAGAAGCGUCAACGCCGCGUGGAGGAUGACACUUAUCGAAGCGUAAACUCCUUUUUUUAGGGAAGCGGUACCUAACGAAUAAGCACCGGCUAACUCCGUGCCAGCAGCCGCGGUAAUUC
rnacentral:rRNA from 1 species